rnacentral:sRNA from 1 species
GGACAGAGAAUAAAGACAGCAGGAGAGGCCAUUCCUGGUGCAGACUGCACAGCAGCAUCCACUGAGCUGUGCUCAUCACAGGAGAUGCUCUCCCACAUCCUGCAGUGUGGUCUUCCCUUGUCUCCUGGCCAGCUUUCCUGAGACUUGAUUUCAUCUCUCUGAGAACAUCCCUGCAGUAGUUACCAGAUGGAUCAGGAUGUAAGUGACCGGCUACUGCCCCGGUGCCAUGUCUGAUGCCGUGCUCCCCAUCAUGAUGAUCAUGGACUUUAACAUUCCGAACUGU